rnacentral:misc_RNA from 1 species
AUGCGAUAAGUAAUGUGAAUUGCAGAAUUCAGUGAAUCAUCGAAUCUUUGAACGCACCUUGCGCUCCUUGGUAUUCCUUGGAGCAUGCCUGUUUGAGUAUCAUGAAAUCUUCAAAGUAAAUCUUUUGUUAACUCAAUUGGUUUCUACUUUGGUAUUGGAGGUCUUUGCAGCUUCACACCUGCUCCUCUUUGUUCAUUAGCUGGAUCUCAGUGUUAUGCUUGGUUCCACUCGGCGUGAUAAGUUAUCUAUCGCUGAGGACACUGUAAAAGGUGGCCAAGGUAAAUGCAGAUGAGCCGCUUCUAAUAGUCCAUUGACUUGGACAAUACUUUUAUGAUCUGAUCUCAAAUCAGGUAGGACUACCCGCUGAACUUAAGC